CAGUCGCCACGGUAAUACGAAGGGGGCUAGCGUUGCUCGGAAUCACUGGGCGUAAAGGGUGCGUAGGCGGGUCUUUAAGUCAGGGGUGAAAUCCUGGAGCUCAACUCCAGAACUGCCUUUGAUACUGAAGAUCUUGAGUUCGGGAGAGGUGAGUGGAACUGCGAGUGUAGAGGUGAAAUUCGUAGAUAUUCGCAAGAACACCAGUGGCGAAGGCGGCUCACUGGCCCGAUACUGACGCUGAGGCACGAAAGCGUGGGGAGCAAACAGGAUUAGAUACCCCCGUAGUCCCUGUCUCUUAUAC
rnacentral:rRNA from 1 species